rnacentral:rRNA from 1 species
CCUACGAGAGGCAGCAGUGAGGAAUAUUGGUCAAUGGACGAGAGGCUGAACCAGCCAAGUAGCGUGAAGGAUGACUGCCCUAUGAGUUGUAAACUUCUUUUAUAUGGGAAUAAAAUGUUACACGUGUGGGAUUUUGUAUGUACCAUAUGAAUAAGGAUCGGCUAACUCCGUGCCAGCAGCCGCGGUAAUACGGAGGAUCCGAGCGUUAUCCGGAUUUAUUGGGUUUAAAGGGAGCGUAGGUGGAUUUUUAAGUCAGUGGUGAAAGUUUGCGGCUCAACCGUAAAAUUGCAGUUGAAACUGGCAGUCUUGAGUACAGUAGAGGUGGGCGGAAUUCGUGGUGUAGCGGUGAAAUGCUUAGAUAUCACGAAGAACUCCGAUUGCGAAGGCAGCUCACUGGACUGCAACUGACACUGAGGCUCGAAAGUGUGGGUAUCAAACAGGAUUAGAUACCCCAGUAGUC